rnacentral:lncRNA from 1 species
GAAAGCGUGCGAUUCUUACCCAAAGGCCCUUUUCAGGGCCACCUAUUCAGUCACAGAAAGAGUUGGCACGCUUUUUGGUUCUGCUGUUUAAGUUUUUUCCAGGCUGUGAGGUUCAAUCCGUGAAAGGUAGUGUGGAGAGGUCGCCUGCGUGCUUUUUCUCGGCCGUUUUCCUCCAGGACCCGUUUUUUUCCCGGUUUCAAAAGCAUCUUUUUGGCAGCUGUCCAUGUUCAGGUUUGUUCUACCAAGUCUGGGCUCAUCUCAGUCUUCAGACACCAUUCCCUGUUGUCCACCUAAGUCUCCGUUACUGAUGAGCGUUCCAACGUCCCCGCCUCAUAAUCCUGUGAGUUUUUCAAACCCGGGUCUUCGUCAUUGAAACCCCGCCUUCUCAGCCUGUCUGCUAUUGAGAGGAACGCUGUCCUGCAGUGGGUUAUCUGUAUCCUGUUCUUAAGCUGCUGGAAACCUUGUACCAACUGCCAGCAUUUCACUAUAUCCUCCGAUGUCCUGGUGUAUUUGUUUUUUUGAAGAGUCAUUGGGGAUCUUCGCAAUGUACUCGCCUUUAUCCACUGAAGGCUGUUCAGCAGAAUAAAGGCGCCCCAAGGACUACUAGCUUUCUAACCCCAGGCAACAGGUGCUGGCCUUUCUGGCUACAGGUGAGCACGUGGAAGAGUCAGGAAGUCAGCGGAACUCGUUCCCAGGUGUGGGCUUUAAAACCUCCCCUCUUGCCUCCAGAUAAAGGUGUGGAUCUUGUUUGUCCUCACAAGACCUCAGGCCUGGGGGAUAGCAGAACAACGACUCGAGGGAGAGUCCUGGAUUGAUCAGCAGCGGCUGCGUGAAUCACAACAGAUGUGUCCUGUGACAUGAAUAACUGUCCUUACGGAGUCUCGGUUACAGCCCUUCACUUUACAAACCAAACACGGAUUUGUUUUCUCAGUUUAUGAAGCAGUGUGGAUUAGUCCCUCUGUCCACCUGACAGCGCUUUAAGGAAAGCUGACUCCAGAUGGGUCUGUUUCCUGUGUUCCUAUGUGUUGCGCCGUGUUCCGUUCUGGACAGGGCGCAGGGUAAGAGCUCAUGUUAGAAAUGCACGGACUGUCCAAAUACUUUAAGCAGCUGUAAUCUGAAUAUUUGAAAGUGCUGUCCUCUUUAGCAGAG